UACGUAGGGUGCAAGCGUUAAUCGGAAUUACUGGGCGUAAAGCGUGCGCAGGCGGCUUUGCAAGACAGAUGUGAAAUCCCCGGGCUUAACCUGGGAACUGCAGUCGAGACUGUCUAGCUAGAGUAUGGGAGAGGGAAGUGGAAUUUCAGGUGUAGCGGUGAAAUGCGUAGAUAUCUGAAGGAACAUCAGUGGCGAAGGCGGGUUUCUGGCUGACAACUGACGCUGAGGUGCGAAAGCUAGGGGAGCGAACGGG
rnacentral:rRNA from 1 species